GGAAAGAUGUCUGAGUGGUCUAAGGUCACUGUUUUGAAAGCAGUUUAUCGAGGGUUCAAAUCCCUCUCUUUCCU
rnacentral:tRNA from 1 species